UACGUAGGGGGCAAGCGUUGUCCGGAAUCAUUGGGCGUAAAGGGCGCGUAGGCGGCCCGACCAGUCUGCGGUGAAAGCCCCCCGCUCAACGGGGGAAGGGCCGUGGAUACUGUCGGGCUCGAGGGAGACAGGGGCAGGUGGAACUUCCGGUGGAGCGGUGAAAUGCGUUGAGAUCGGAAGGAACUCCGGUGGCGAAAGCGGCCUGCUGGAUCUCUACUGACGCUGAGGCGCGAAAGCCAGGGGAGCAAACGGG
rnacentral:rRNA from 1 species